rnacentral:lncRNA from 10 species
UGUCUCGCCAUUUAAACGAGUAUUCCUAAAAGGUGAAAAGAGUAGAGAUAAGAAAGCCCAUGAGAAGGUGACAGAGAGGCGCCCUCUGCACACUGUGGUGUUGUCAUUGCCUGAGCGCGUCGAGCCAGACAGACUGCUGAGCGACUAUAUUGAGAAGGAGGUAAAGAUGGAGUUUUGCUCUUGUUGCCCAGGCUGGAGUAUAAUGGCGCAGUCUUGGCUCACCACAACCUCCGCCUCCCGGGUUCAAGCAAUUAUCCUGCCUCAGCCUCCUGAGUAGCUGAGAUUACAGUAUUUAGGUCAGUUAACGUCCAUACCAGGAUACCUGAAUCCCUCCAGUAGGACUGAAAUCCUGCAUUUCAUAGACAAUGCAAAGAGAGCCCACCAGCUUCCGGGACACUUGACUCAGGAGCACGAUGCUGUGCUCAGCCUGUCUGCGUACAACGUCAAGCUGGCCUGGAGGGACGGGGAGGAUAUCAUCCUCAGGGUGCCCAUCCAUGACAUCGCCGCCGUCUCCUAUGUUCGGGAUGACGCUG